UAUACCGUGAAACUGCGAAUGGCUCAUUAAAUCAGUUAUCGUUUAUUUGAUAGUACCUUACUACUUGGAUAACCGUGGUAAUUCUAGAGCUAAUACAUGCUAAAAACCCCGACUUCGGGAGGGGUGUAUUUAUUAGAUAAAAAACCAAUGCCCUCCGGGGCUCUUUGGUGAUUCAUGAUAACUUAACGGAUCGCAUGGCCUUGCGCCGGCGACGGUUCAUUCAAAUUUCUGCCCUAUCAACUUUCGAUGGUAAGGUAUUGGCUUACCAUGGUUUCAACGGGUAACGGGGAAUUAGGGUUCGAUUCCGGAGAGGGAGCCUGAGAAACGGCUACCACAUCCAAGGAAGGCAGCAGGCGCGCAAAUUACCCAAUCCCGACACGGGGAGGUAGUGACAAUAAAUACUGAUACAGGGCUCUUUUGGGUCUUGUAAUCGGAAUGAGUACAAUUUAAACCCCUUAACGAGGAACAAUUGGAGGGCAAGUCUGGUGCCAGCAGCCGCGGUAAUUCCAGCUCCAAUAGCGUAUAUUAAAGUUGUUGCAGUUAAAAAGCUCGUAGUUGAACCUUGGGCCUGGCUGGCCGGUCCGCCUCACCGCGUGUACUGGUCCGGCCGGGCCUUUCCUUCUGGAGAGCCGCAUGCCCUUCACUGGGUGUGUCGGGGAACCAGGACUUUUACUUUGAAAAAAUUAGAGUGUUCAAAGCAGGCCUUUGCUCGAAUACGUUAGCAUGGAAUAAUAGAAUAGGACGUGCGGUCCUAUUUUGUUGGUUUCUAGGACCGCCGUAAUGAUUAAUAGGGAUAGUCGGGGGCAUCAGUAUUCAAUUGUCAGAGGUGAAAUUCUUGGAUUUAUUGAAGACUAACUACUGCGAAAGCAUUUGCCAAGGAUGUUUUCAUUAAUCAGUGAACGAAAGUUAGGGGAUCGAAGACGAUCAGAUACCGUCGUAGUCUUAACCGUAAACUAUGCCGACUAGGGAUCGGGCGAUGUUUCUAUCUUGACUCGCUCGGCACCUUACGAGAAAUCAAAG
rnacentral:rRNA from 1 species